CUAUAUAAACCUUUAAUAAAUAGUCCAUUAAUAAUUAAUGAGAAUUAUCAAUCAUUAAAGUAACAAUUAACUUACAUAAAAACUAUCUAUUUGGCAUUUAUAAUUGGUCUAUAGGCUGUUUUUAAAUGAUGAUUAAACUUUAAUUAUCAAUUUACCAUUUAUAAAUUGUAGUUAUUGUAAAGUAUUUAAAAUAGGUCUGAACUCAUAAAAUUGUGUGAAAGCUGAUUAUUGAAGGAGGUCAAAGAGGUCAAGGUUUUUAAUUCUGAGUCUUACAUUCAGGACUUAAGGUUUGAUGGUUGUGUAUUUCUCUGUGUGUUAACCAGGAGCUGAAAUUACGCCGGAUCAAGUCAAACUGAGGCAGAACUCAUGACCGUCCAACGCCUGGACCCUGUAAGGUAAGAUACUGACUACUUCACUCCACGGACAGACCAUCAACGAGGGACACUGGAGGUCAGUUUGCUUUUGGUUUGACAACAACCGCACCAACAAAAACAAGAACCCCACCAUCAACAAUCAAGCAGUGCAGUUGUUCUCUGCCCGAGUAGCAGGUUUUGGUCUAGUUUUGGUGAUGCAAUUGUGGAGAGAAAGUGUUCUCUUCUGGGGUUGCAGGUUUUGGUCUAGUUUUGGUCUGCUUUGGUGAUGCAAUUGUGGAGAGAAACUGUUCUCUUCCAGAGAAGCAGAUUUUUGUCUAGUUUUGCUCUGUUUUGGUGAUGCAAUUGUGGAGAGAAACUGUUCUCUUCCAAAACCACAAAAACAAGAAUCCCCACUAUUAACGAUCAACCAGUGCAGCAACAUAGACCCCCAAAACAAGUCUACUAUCAGAUUUCAUUAAAGAAAAUAGCAACUCCGUCCUCAAAAACGUGUAAAUCAACAAAUUUACCAAAACAAAAAUGAGAGUUCACUCGAAUUAAAAUUAAACUUCCUGAGGGAAGCUUUAAAAUAGUCGGGAUGCGUCACAAGGUCUGAUUUUUGCAAUGCGUUUUUGGAAAGCAGCGUUUCUCUGCCCAAGUGGAUACUCCUCCUCGUCGCCCCAAACUACCUCAAAUUUCCCCGACGAAGGACCCAUUUGAAGGACACCAACCAGGUUGAUUAUUUCAUACUGCUUGUUUUUUUCCCCCCUAAUUUGUAUUAAAACUGUUGUUUUCACUCUUAAAAUGAGUGAUUAUGAAAAUGAAAACCCAGUAAUGUUAAUUACAGUGGCUGUUACAAAGAUAAGGAUUCAAGGCUGUUGUAAGGAUAAUUAGACUGAAAACAAACCCUGCUAAACUCAAGUGCACAGUAUUUUGCUGUGCUUUAUUUUGACACUCUUGAAAUGAAUGACAACAAAAAUGAAAACCCAGUAAUGUUAAUGAUGGAAACAGGAGCCGCAGUGGCUGUUACAAAGAUAGGGAUUCAAGGCUGUUGUAAGGAUAAUUAGACUGAAAACAAACCCUGCUAAACUGUAGUGCACAGUACUUUUCUGUGCUUUAUUUUGACCUUUUAGAUCAGUUUAGCAUUUCUAUUGAUUGUAAGUUGUGCAUAGUGCUGUGAGCUAACGCAGCAAGUACAACUUGAAGAUAUAAGAUCUCAAAAGGUGUGAAGAUCUUCAACGAGGAAUGGAUGCCCGAUGCACAGACCAGGUUGAUUUUUUUCAUACUGCUUGUUUUUUUUUUCCCUAAUUUGUCUUGAAACUGUUGUUUUCACUCUUAAAAUGAGUGAUUAUGAAAAUGAAAACCCAGUAAUGUUAAUUACAGUGGCUGUUACAAAGAUAAGGAUUCAAGGCUGUUGUAAGGAUAAUUAGACUGAAAACAAACCCUGCUAAACUCAAGUGCACAGUAUUUUGCUGUGCUUUAUUUUGACACUCUUGAAAUGAAUGACAACAAAAAUGAAAACCCAGUAAUGUUAAUGAUGGAAACAGGAGCCGCAGUGGCUGUUACAAAGAUGGGGAUUCAAGGCUGUUGUAAGGAUAAUUAGACUGAAAACAAACCCUGCUAAACUCUAGUGCACAGUAUUUUGCUGUGCUUUAUUUUGACCUUUUAGACCAGUUUAGGAUUUCUAUUGAUUGUAAAUUGUGCAUAGUGCUGUGAGCUAACGCAGAAGGUACAACUUGAAGAUAUAAGAUCUCAAAAGGUGUGAAGAUCUUCAAGGUUGAUUUUUUUCAUACUGCUUGUUUUUUUUUUUUCCCUAAUUUGUCUUGAAACUGUUGUUUUCACUCUUAAAAUGAGUGAUUAUGAAAAUGAAAACCCAGUAAUGUUAAUUACAGUGGCUGUUACAAAGAUAAGGAUUCAAGGCUGUUGUAAGGAUAAUUAGACUGAAAACAAACCCUGCUAAACUCUAGUGCACAGUAUUUUGCUGUGCUUUAUUUUGACCUUUUAGACCAGUUUAGGAUUUCUAUUGAUUGUAAAUUGUGCAUAGUGCUGUGAGCUAACGCAGAAGGUACAACUUGAAGAUAUAAGAUCUCAAAAGGUGUGAAGAUCUUCAAGGUUGAUUUUUUUCAUACUGCUUGUUUUUUUUUUCCCCUAAUUUGUCUUGAAACUGUUGUUUUCACUCUUAAAAUGAGUGAUUAUGAAAAUGAAAACCCAGUAAUGUUAAUUACAGUGGCUGUUACAAAGAUAGGGAUUCAAGGCUGUUGUAAGGAUAAUUAGACUGAAAACAAACCCUGCUAAACUCUAGUGCACAGUAUUUUGCUGUGCUUUAUUUUGACCUUUUAGACCAGUUUAGGAUUUCUAUUGAUUGUAAGUUGUGCAAAGUGCUGUGAGCUAAGUCAGCAAGUACAACCUGAAGAUAUAUGAAGAAUGAUGUGGAGCAGCAUGGUGACACCAGAAAGACUUGGAAGAAGCAGGGUGAAGAUGUCUGCGCUACACCUGGACCAGUACCCAGGUAGAAGAAAACCUCUGAACAGGGUCUGUUUUUUUCUUCUUUUUACAUUUGACUUAAAUAUGAUCACACUCCAAAAAAACCCUAAUGAUAAAAUGUUUGUUUUACUCUGGAGUGACAUGAAAAUGAAAAACCAGUAAUGUUAACUUUGAUGCAGUGGCAGUAACAGCUGUCAAAACUGUAAGGAUAACUAUGCUGAAAAUGAACCCAGCUAAACUUGUCAAGUGCACAGUAUUCGACUGUGCUUUAUUGAUUUGUCAAACUAAACUUCGAUUCUUGAAUAGUAUUAGGAUCAUGCUAAUGUUAAAACUGCAAAAACCUCAAAAGUUAAGACAAGAUCCAGAGGAACUACAAGAAGGACAACAAGAACUUCAAGAACAGCAUGACAACGUUGACAUGGCUUUUGCUGUAAGGUUGGUCAUCUUUCUGAGGGUAGGUGAACAUCUCGUUGUUUGUGGAUGUGAUCAUCUUGAUUUAAAACUCAAAAAAAAAAAAGGUUUGAGGGGUGUUUUCCAAAACUUGAUCUCAAAUCCAGAAACAAGGUUCAAAGGUUGCUUUUCAUGACUUGAUCCAAACCCAGAAAUAGGUUCUCAACGUGCUUUCAAAGACUUGAUUUCAAGCUCUUCAAAGAUUUGUAAAAGUUGCUUCCAAAGACUUGAUCUUAAAAACAAAAAACAAGUUUUAAAAGGUUUCUUUCAAAAACUGGUUCUUGAACAAGCAAAGACGGUAUGUUAAAAAGGUCUGGUCUCAAAAAGGUAUGUCAAAAGCACCUUUCUAAUUUGACAAAAGUACCUAAUCUAACAAGAGCACCUUCAAGCCUAAAAAUAAAUUGCCUCUACUCAAUCAAAAAAUGGCAUAAACCAAACAAUCAAAGCUUUUUCUCAGCAGCACUAUCACAGAGAACAAGAAGACCAUUCAGAAGAACUGAAGGAGUAGAAGAAGACCUGAUGGUGGACCCUGUGUGUCAACGCCCAAACCUCUGAACAGGACUGGGUCUGUUUUUUUUCCUUUUACAUUUGACUUCAAUAUGAUGAUCACACUCCAAAAAAACCUUAAUGAUAAAAUGUUUGUUUUACUCUGGAGUGACAUGAAAAUGAAAAACCAGUAAUGUUAACUUUGAUGCAGUGGCAGUAACAGCUGUCAAAACUGUAAGGAUAACUAUGCUGAAAAUGAACCCAGCUAAACUUGUCAAGUGCACAGUAUUCGACUGUGCUUUAUUGAUUUGUCAAGCUAAACUUCGAUUCUUGAAUAGUAUUAGGAUCAUGCUAAUGUUAAAACUGCAAAAACCUCAAAAGUUAAGACAAGAUCCAGAGGAACUACAAGAAGGACAACGAGAACUUCAAGAACAGCAUGACAACGUUGACAUGGCUUUUGCUGUAAGGUUGGUCAUCUUUCUGAGGGUAGGUGAACAUCUCGUUGUUUGUGGAUGUGAUCAUCUUGAUUUAAAACUCAAAAAAAAAAAAGGUUUGAGGGGUGUUUUCCAAAACUUGAUCUCAAAUCCAGAAACAAGGUUCAAAGGUUGCUUUUCAUGACUUGAUCCAAACCCAGAAAUAGGUUCUCAACGUGCUUUCAAAGACUUGAUUUCAAGCUCUUCAAAGAUUUGUAAAAGUUGCUUCCAAAGACUUGAUCUUAAAAACAAAAAAGUUUUAAAAGGUUUCUUUCAAAAACUGGUUCUUGAACAAGCAAAGACGGUAUGUUAAAAAGUCUGGUCUCAAAAAGGUAUGUCAAAAGCACCUUUCUAAUUUGACAAAAGCACCUAAUCUAACAAGAGCACCUUCAAGCCUAAAAAUAAAUUGCCUCUACUCAAUCAAAAAAUGGCAUAAACCAAACAAUCAAAGCUUUUUCUCAGCAGCACUAUCACGGAGAACAAGAAGACCAUUCAGAAGAACUGAAGGAGUAGAAGAAGACCUGAUGGUGGACCCUGUGUGUCAACGCCCAAACCUCUGAACAGGACUGGGUCUGUUUUUUUUCCUUUUACAUUUGACUUCAAUAUGAUGAUCACACUCCAAAAAAACCUUAAUGAUAAAAUGUUUUUUUUACUCUGGAGUGACAUGAAAAUGAAAAACCAGUAAUGUUAACUUUGAUGCAGUGGCAGUAACAGCUGUCAAAACUGUAAGGAUAACUAUGCUGAAAAUGAACCCAGCUAAACUUGUCAAGUGCACAGUAUUCGACUGUGCUUUAUUGAUAUGUCCAGUUAAACUCCUAUUCUUUCAUAGUAUCAGGAUCAUGCUAAUGUUAAAACUGCAAAAACCUCACGAAUUAAGACCAACAGAUCCAGAGGAACUACAAGAAGGACAACGAGAACUUGAAGAACACCGUGACAACAUUGACAUGGAUUCUGCUGUAAGGUUGGUCAUCUUUCUGAGGGUAGGUGAUCACCUUAUUUUUAGAUGUGAU
rnacentral:lncRNA from 1 species